UAGGGAAUCUUCCACAAUGGACGCAAGUCUGAUGGAGCAACGCCGCGUGAGUGAAGAAGAUCUUCGGAUCGUAAAACUCUGUUGUUAGAGAAGAACACGAGUGAGAGUAACUGUUCAUUCGAUGACGGUAUCUAACCAGCAAGUCACGGCUAACUACGUCCCAG
rnacentral:rRNA from 1 species